rnacentral:rRNA from 1 species
GACGAACGCUGGCGGCGUGCCUAAUACAUGCAAGUAGAACGCACAGUUUAUACCGUAGCUUGCUACACCAUAAACUGUGAGUUGCGAACGGGUGAGUAACGCGUAGGUAACCUGCCUGGUAGCGGGGGAUAACUAUUGGAAACGAUAGCUAAUACCGCAUAAUAUUAAUUAUUGCAUGAUAAUUGAUUGAAAGAUGCAAUUGCAUCACUACCAGAUGGACCUGCGUUGUAUUAGCUAGUAGGUGAGGUAACGGCUCACCUAGGCGACGAUACAUAGCCGACCGGAGAGGGUGAUCGGCCACACUGGGACUGAGACACGGCCCAGACUCCUACGGGAGGCAGCAGUAGGGAAUCUUCGGCAAUGGACGAAAGUCUGACCGAGCAACGCCGCGUGAGUGAAGAAGGUUUUCGGAUCGUAAAGCUCUGUUGUAAGAGAAGAACGGGUGUGAGAGUGGAAAGUUCACACUGUGACGGUAUCUUACCAGAAAGGGACGGCUAACUACG